CUAGAUUAUUCCCGCGUUUCGUAGAAUAGCGGGAAAAUAUGGUAUAAUAGAAACGUAUUAAAGCGCUAAAAAGUAGGCGGGGCCAUAGGAAGGCCAAUAGAAUUCUAGUGAAUUCGAGUAAUAGUCUUGUGUUUGGUCAUUCUAAGCCAACGCUUCACACGAGGCAUUCGAGCUUUAUUUUUGGAGCAGCAAAAUGGAGUCCCAACAAAUGGAUAUAUUGUUAUCUAGAGUGUCAGACGUUAUAGAUUCCAAAUUGGCUUCUUUAGAGGUGAAGAUCUCGAAGCAAGAAAAGCAACAGCACGAACAGUAAAUGUGCAUAAUUCAAGCAGCUUCCGAUAAGACUUUCGUUUUUAAAAGAAAAGGCAACGAGGCACAGUUCAAGUUUAACAACACUGUGAGAGAUAAAAUGGUACAGGCCAACACCCACAUAAACGACGGUGAAGCCGAAGCCGCUUUCCAAAGCAUUACGGAAGGUAUAGAGCUUAUAGACGACAUACAAAGGCUAGUAAAACUUGCUGACUCGUCAAAAAUGGUUGGAGAACCGUACAAGAAUAUACUCAACACGAGAUAUCAUCGGACGAGGAAGACGAGAAAAGAAUAUUUAAAGCAGAGAUGCGCGCGGAAAAGAAAUUGAAGGAGGAACGAGCUCAAAAAGCCAGAUUCACACCUUAUACAACUCCCGCAAAAUCAGCACCUGAGAAGUCAAACAAAAGUUACAGCAACAAGAAGCCAGGGACCUAUUACAAGCGCGGUUUCCCGGAGCAUUGGGCACGGGAUUGUAAAAAGGAAACGUUAAUUAAGAUAAGUACUAGUAUUCUAGAUGAAAAUGCUAAUGUUCAUUACAAUAGUAAUUCUGUUAAAGCUGAUAUAGCACAAAGUCAGUUUAUAGUUUCUAAAAAAGAUCAUGAUACUGAAUAUGUCAGUCCAUAUUUACGUUUGAAAAUGCAUUUGUCGAAAUGGAAGAGUAUGUGCACAGACAAUUAUGUCUUGAGUAUUAUAGAGAAUGGUUACAUAAUUCCAUUUAAGCACGUUCCAUCAAGUGAGUUUUUUAACAACAACAAAUCUGCCAGUGACAAUGUGAGUAUUGUUUACCAAGAAAUUCAAAAGGUUAUUCAGAAAUGCUGCAUAACACAGGUAACUCACAUUUCUUUUAUGGCCAAUGCAUUGACCGUGGCUUUCAAUAAAUCAGGUAAACCACGCUUGGUCUUAGAUUGCAUACACAUCAAUAAGUUCUUUCAUGAUUUUGUAUUUAGGAUGGAAGAUACUAGAACUGCUCGGGAACUUUUUGAUACUGGAUAUUUUUGCGUUUUGUUUCGACCUUACGUCUGCAUAUCAUCAUAUAGAAAUUUUUGAAGAACACAGAAAAUAUUUGGGUUUUCAUUAGGAGCAUUAUGGUUAGAAAAAAUAUUACGUGUUUAACGUUUUACCUUUUGGCAUUUCUUCGACAGCCUUUAUUUUUACAAACGUUUUGAGAAAAGGUGUUCAGUAUUGGAGGAAUUUAAGAUUACACGUAAUCAUAUAUUUGGAUGAUGGUUUGGCAGGAUCUAAAACUUUUUCAGAGGCAGAGUCUAUUAGUAGACUUGUAAGAAAGGAUCUUUCUGAAUUGGGUUUUGUGAUCGCUGAAUCUAAGUGUGAAUGGCAUCCAAAAACCCCAGUUUGGUUGGGUUUGGAGUGGAAUACAGAGACAGGUAAUUUGAAAGUUACUUUUGAGCGAAUUAAGAUGGUAAUGAAGUAUAUAAAAAUGUUUUAAAACUAAUUCAAACAGGUCAAAACACGUUCCACGUUAGGGCUAUUGCUAGAGCCACAUGUCAGCUUAUAUUUCUAAGAGAGAGGAAAUUUAAUUUCAAGUUUAACAAAAUAUUGUGUGAUGAUUGGAUUUGAACCGGGGACCUCUUUAUUUGGGGUCGAGGUCGUUAUCUCUUGACCAUUUUAUUUUAAGUGUUGGCAUAUUGGGUGAAAUUAUGUAACAUUAAAUGAUAAGCUGAUGAGGUUUGGAAAUAUUGGAUUUAUUUGUAAUCAUUUCUUAUUUUCAUUAUUUGUUGAAAAUUAUUUCGGGCUAUGUUAUUUAAAGAAAACCUUUGACAUAAAACUAAUUAUUGAUUAAUAUUUAUAAUGUCAUAUGAAACAGUGCAUUGCAUGCUGGUCACUUCUCGUGAUAUUUUUGUGGCCAUUUGGUUGACAGGAAAUGGUCUAAGGUACUGUGAAAAUUUGUAUUAUAGUGAUGCAACUAGCACUUUGUAUAUUUCGAACAAGUAACAGAGUAUGUAGUUUUCUAGGUAUGGAUGCACCGGUUCUUUGAAGUUAUUAUGAAGAUAAAUUUCAUGUUUAAAUGUUCACGGUAUGUGUCAGCAGUUCAUUGUUUACAUCUAAAGUUAUACAGACAAGGGUAUUGAGAUGAUUUAAUUGUUACUUGAAAUCAGUUAGUGUAAUAAUUAGUCUAAGGUCAUGCAAUAUGUAUAGAGUCUGUAUUUGAUAUUUUUAUUUUGAUAUAGUACAUCUUACAUGUACGAUACAACACUAUUCAGAAGGGAAGUGCCCAUAGCUGUAGUAACCACGUUUGCCCCUUACUUUGGGUAUGUGUUUGCAUAUUGCUGUUGUGUAUUUUGAUGGAAGUGUUGUGUACAAAGUUUUAAUAUUUGUGUAAUGGUGAUAUUCAUAAUACAGUUAUAUGAAUAUUGUUUGAGGUCAUUGAUUGUAAGUCAAACAAUAAAAAAGUAUAGAAUUAUUUUUGGAUUAAUCAAGAAUGCUAUUGACUUGUAUGGGAAAGAUUUUAAUGACAUCUUGAUGUAUAUUUUAGGGAACACUGUACAUAUACUUAAUCACCAUGGAAUAAAGAACUAAAACACAAUUUGGAGGUGUUACAAAUCUAUGGAAGCCGCGGUAGGACACGCGAUCAAUUUUUACACAAGAGCUAAGAUUGGAGAGGAACAUUGAGGACAUCGUGAGUUCCACUGGAUUUGCCUUGGACGACUCGGACAACGCCCUCUUAGCAAAGAAACUUUGCGAAUUUCUUAUAAAGUCAAUAUAGGUCUGCAUUCUUGCGUUCUGGUGGAGCUAAUACCGCAGCGAACUCUAACGUUAAUGACAGAAUUUGAAAAAAGCACGGACGUCGGAUUUCAGAUUCAUCAAAAGACGGUUAUGUCAAAGACAGUAUUGAAAAUCAGAUGUCAUUUUCAAAAAAUCUUGGAUUGUGACAUCAAUGGUUAAUAUUUUCCUGUUUGUGGGAAAAUUAUUCAUUUUGAUUUAGUUUUUGCUUUUCAUAUCUAACUUUUGGACGACUAAAAUUCUAAGCUCGCUUGGAUUACGGCUAUAUGGUAGUUAUUUUGUGUAGAUUUAAAAGUGAGGGGUGUAAGGAGUAAAGAUUAUACUAGAUUUUUCCCGCGUUCCGUAGAAUAGCGGGAAAAUAUUGUAUGAUAGAAACGUAUUAAAGCGCCAAAAAAGUAGGCGGGGCCAUAGAAAGGCCAAUAAAAUCCUAGUGAAUUCGAGUAAUAGUCUUGUGUUUGGUUAUUCUAAGCCAACGCUUCACACGAGGCGCUCGAGUUUUAUUUUUUAAAUAUCAAAGUUUAGCUCACAUUACUAUCAUUAUUCAAUGUUUACUACGGUAGUUCCGCUUAAAUGCUCGUCCGGCAUUGCCCUGGAGAUGUUAUUUACACUUGCACGGACACAGGUUUCCAUAGUUAACCAUCUAUGGUUUUUCCUGGGCGGUUUUUAAUGUCAGUGAUGGGGUUAAAAAUUUAAACACUUAAUACAAAGCAGAACUUCAUAUUUUCAUUUCAAAUAUUUUCGUAAUACGGUAUAUGUAGGCGUCGUUCAUAAAAAAAAAUAUGGCAUUGUAUGUAUAUAUGUGCAUUUGUAUGGCGUUACAUAAUAAACGCCGGCUGCUCCAACAAGCUCGCCUGGCUUACGAUGA